CCAGCCGGCCGGGCGGCCGCUGCCGGACUUCGUUGUGGCGAAACGCGCUCUAAAGGCGCGCAAGCAAGACAUCCGGUGGAGGAAAGUCCGGGCUCCUUGAUGACACGGUGGCGGCUAACGGCCGCCGGGGGCGACCCCAGGGAAAGUGCCACAGAGAACAUACCGCCCGCCUUCGCUGCUUUGCAGCUUCGGCGCGGUAAGGGUGAAAAGGUGCGGUAAGAGCGCACCGCGCUUCUGGUAACAGAGGCGGCAGGGCAAACCCCACCGGGAGCAAGAUCGAAUAGGGAUGGGCGCGCGGAGCGGGAAACCGCAGACGCGGGGCGUGUCAUCGCGCUACUCAUCCGGGUUGAUUGCACGAGGCGUCUGGCAACAGGCGUCCCAGAUGAAUGGCCGUCGCGGAGCAUUUAGGCCAACACCCGGCAUGCCGGUGUUGGGCUUUCUCCAGACAGAACCCGGCUUACAGGCCGGCUGGUAAU
rfam:Hyphomicrobium denitrificans ATCC 51888, complete genome.